rnacentral:misc_RNA from 1 species
UACGUAGGACCCAAGCGUUAUCCGGAGUGACUGGGCGUAAAGAGUUGCGUAGGUGGCUCGUUAAGCAGAUAGUGAAAUCGUGUGGCUCAACCAUUACGGCUAUUAUCUGAACUGGCGGGCUCGAGAAUGGUAGAGGUAGCUGGAAUUUCUAGUGUAGGAGUGAAAUCCGUAGAUAUUAGAAGGAACACCAAUGGCGUAGGCAGGCUACUGGACCAUUUCUGACACUGAGGCACGAAAGCGUGGGGAGCGAACCGG